rnacentral:rRNA from 1 species
GAUGAACGCUAGCUACAGGCUUACCUCAUGCAAGUCGAGGGGCAGCAUUGGAGUACCAAUACUUCAAAUGGCGACCGGCGCACGGGUGAGUAACACGUAUCCAACCUGCCGCUUACUCGGGGAUAGCCUUUCAAAAAAAAGAUUAAUACCCGAUGGUAUAAAGAGUUCGCAUGUUCUCUUUAUUAAAAAAUUUCGGUAAGCGAUGGGGAUGCGUUCCAUUAAAUUGUUGGCGGGGUAACGGCCCACCAAGUCUACAAUGGAUAGGGGUUCUGAAAGGAAGGUCCCCCACAUUGAAACUGAAACACGGUCCAAACUCCUACGGGAGGCAGCUUUGAGGAAUAUUGGUCAAUGGACAAGAGUCUGAACCACCCAAGUAGCGUGAAGGAUGACUGCCCUAUGGGUUGUAAACUUCUUUUAUAAGGAAAUAAAGUGAGGGACGUGCCCCUUUUUGUAUGU